rnacentral:lncRNA from 1 species
AUGAGAUCACCAGACUAACUGCCAUAAUGGAGUCAGUGCUAGUUGCCCAGAGUCAAUCUUCUCCAACGCCUGUAACUCCUCCUCAGAGGACGGUUAUUUCAGAGGUGGUUACCUCUACCAUGCCUGUCGCUGCUCACUUUGCACCUGCUAUGUCUGUCGGAUUCCCGUAGGGAAUGCUGCCGAACUUCAUGCCUGAAGGCUUCGUGCCUACCUUUGCUUCCAUGCCGGCAACUAUCCCGGUCAUGUCUG